rnacentral:rRNA from 1 species
AACGAACGCUGGCGGCAUGCCUAAUACAUGCAAGUCGAACGAGAUCUUCGGAUCUAGUGGCGCACGGGUGCGUAACGCGUGGGAAUCUGCCCUUGGGUUCGGAAUAACUUCUGGAAACGGAAGCUAAUACCGGAUGAUGACGUAAGUCCAAAGAUUUAUCGCCCAAGGAUGAGCCCGCGUAGGAUUAGGUAGUUGGUGAGGUAAAGGCUCACCAAGCCGACGAUCCUUAGCUGGUCUGAGAGGAUGAUCAGCCACACUGGGACUGAGACACGGCCCAGACUCCUACGGGAGGCAGCAGUAGGGAAUAUUGGACAAUGGGCGAAAGCCUGAUCCAGCAAUGCCGCGUGAGCGAUGAAGGCCUUAGGGUUGUAAAGCUCUUUUACCCGGGAUGAUAAUGAGAGUACCGGGAGAAUAAGCUCCGGCUAACUCCGUG